AUUGAACGCUGGCGGCAGGCCUAACACAUGCAAGUCGAGCGGUUGACGGGAGCUUGCUCCCUGAUUCAGCGGCGGACGGGUGAGUAAUGCCUAGGAAUCUGCCUAUUAGUGGGAGACAACGUUUCGAAAGGAACGCUAAUACCGCAUACGUCCUACGGGAGAAAGCAGGGGACCUUCGGGCCUUGCGCUAAUAGAUGAGCCUAGGUCGGAUUAGCUUGUUGGUGAGGUAAUGGCUCACCAAGGCGACGAUCCGUAACUGGUCUGAGAGGAUGACCAGUCACACUGGAACUGAGACACGGUCCAGACUCCUACGGGAGGCAGCAGUGGGGAAUAUUGGACAAUGGGCGAAAGCCUGAUCCAGCCAUGCCGCGUGUGUGAAGAAGGUCUUCGGAUUGUAAAGCACUUUAAGUUGGGAGGAAGGGUUGUAGAUUAAUACUCUGCAAUUUUGACGUUACCGACAGAAUAAGCACCGGCUAACUCUGUGCCAGCCGCCGCAGUAACAC
rnacentral:rRNA from 1 species